UGGGGAAUUUUGGACAAUUGGGCGAAAGCCUGAUCCAGCAAUGCCGCGUGUGUGAAGAAGGCCUUCGGGUUGUAAAGCACUUUUGUCCGGAAAGAAAUCCUUGGCUCUAAUACAGUCGGGGGAUGACGGUACCGGAAGAAUAAGCACCGGCUAACUACGUGCCAGCAGCCGCGGUAAUACGUAGGGUGCAAGCGUUAAUCGGAAUUACUGGGCGUAAAGCGUGCGCAGGCGGUUUGCUAAGACCGAUGUGAAAUCCCCGGGCUCAACCUGGGAACUGCAUUGGUGACUGGCAGGCUAGAGUAUGGCAGAGGGGGGUAGAAUUCCACGUGUAGCAGUGAAAUGCGUAGAGAUGUGGAGGAAUACCGAUGGCGAAGGCAGCCCCCUGGG
rnacentral:rRNA from 1 species